rnacentral:rRNA from 1 species
UACGUAGGGUGCGAGCGUUUAAUCGGAAUUACUGGGCGUAAAGGGUGCGCAGGCGGUUAUAUAAGACAGAUGUGAAAUCCCCGGGCUCAACCUGGGAACUGCGUUUGUGACUGUAUGACUAGAGUACGGUAGAGAGGGGUGGAAUUCCUGGUGUAGCAGUGAAAUGCGUAGAUAUCAGGAGGAACAUCGAUGGCGAAGGCAGCCCCCUUGGACCUGUACUGACGCUCAUGCACGAAAGCGUGGGGAGCAAACAGG